UAUGCCUACGGGGGGCAGCAGUGGGGGAUAUUGCACAAUGGGGGAAACCCUGAUGCAGCGACACCGCGUGGGUGAAGAAGCGCGUCGGCGUGUAAAGCCCUAUCAGUGGGGAAGAAAAAGGACGGUACCCAAAGAAGAAGCACCGGCUAAAUACGUGCCAGCAGCCGCGGUAAUACGUAGGGAGCGAGCGUUGUCCGGAAUUACUGGGUGUAAAGGGAGCGUAGGCGGGCGAGGAAGUUUAAUGUUAAAUCUACCGGCUUAACUGGUAGCUGCGUUCAAAACUUCUUGUCUUGAGUGAAGUAGAG
rnacentral:rRNA from 1 species